AUUACUCCUACGGGAGGCAGCAGUGGGGAAUUUUGGACAAUGGGCGCAAGCCUGAUCCAGCAAUGCCGCGUGCAGGAUGAAGGCCUUCGGGUUGUAAACUGCUUUUGUACGGAGCGAAACGGUCUUCUCUAAUACAGGAGGCUAAUGACGGUACCGUAAGAAUAAGCACCGGCUAACUACGUGCCAGCAGCCGCGGUAAUAAU
rnacentral:rRNA from 1 species